AAAUGCUUAUCAGCCUUUUGACUUUGUGCCAAAAUAGCUGCAAGGGUUCAGCUGCGGCGUUCGGCUUCACUUUUUGUGACAGAGCUGGAGAGGAGGAGGAGGAGGAGGAGGAGGAGGGUCCUAACCUAGUGCGUUCUUUGCACACAUGUUACUGAAAUAAACACUGCUGGUGGUGGAAGCUUAUCUUUUUCCUGUGUGUGUGUGUGUCUAAUUCUGUGCAUUCACGCCAGUCCACCGUGGCAUGCUUAAAGAGUUAAUGCACUCUCAGAGAGUGCGUUUUUUUUUCUUUUUUCCAGAGCGUGGCUCCCCCUAAGACUGUUUGCAGCGAGCGACAUGAGCUCCUACUACAGUAAGAGAUAAGGUUAAUAAUUCAACCCCCGGCUCUCAGAACUGUUGCAUAUUUCAAGGAUCCUUCAGCAGCGCCGUCCCAUUCUCUCUCUCUCUCUCUCUCUCCUCGCUUUUCUUUUCAUUAGCUGAUAUAGUAGCUGAGGUACUGUAUAGUGUAUCCCAGUAUGGCGUGUAAAGUGUGCGGACUGCGUCUGCGCGCUGCCGGAGGAGUGGAUUUCUGUGUCAUUCUUCCUCCUCCACCCCUCCCCACGUUUAGUGCUUUCCACCCUCCCACUCUCUCGCUCUCUCUCUCUCUUUCUGUUUCUCCGUCUCUCACCCAUCUUAUGCUCCCUCCUUCUCUCUCCCCCCCCCCACCACCUCCCCCGCCUCCUCUUCUCCGUCUCCAGUGCAAAUACAGUUUUCCUUGCCGUGUUGGACAUGUGAUGGAAAAGUGACUGGUUCGCGCGCUCCGCCGCACCUCCUAUUUCAUCAUCAGCGGAGCAUUUCUCCCUCUUCACUGUGCGUUUGCUGUCUCCUCCUCUCUCUCUCUCUCUCUCUCUUUCUCUCUCUCCCUCUCUCUCUCUUCUUUUUCUCUCUCUGUUUCGCUUGCACCCCUCUUUCUGCUCCAGCCACACGCAAGGGGGAGACUUAAGCUCUGCGAGGGGAGGAAAGAGAAAAAAAGAAAAAGUCUGCUGCUAUUUCUACAGUCAGGGCCUCCCCACAGCCCGCCCUUCCAUAGACGGAGCUUCUUUUUCUUUUUUUUUUGCACUCCACUACUAGCUGGAUUUUAACCCUCUGCCUCCAACUAGCUGCACAGCAGCUCUGCAAAAACCUGGCAACAAGUUGCUUUUUUUAGGGGCCUUUUUUCCACUUUGGGUGCGUUGAUUUUUUUUUUUUGCAUCACUUUGGAUUUUGCCGCUUUUUCCUUCUGUAAAAAUGUACCGCUCGCUAUUUUUCUUUCUUUCUUUUUUCUUUUUUGCUCUGCUGAUGGGUUUCUAGUAGUAUUUUCAUUUUAAGUUUCUCGCUUUAUUUUAUUUCUUUUUUCUUUUUCUUUUUUUGGGAUGGAAAUUCAUCAAGGUGGUGUUUUUUUUCGCCAUGUGAUGGGGCCUUGUUCCACCUGGAGUGCCGGGGCGCCAUUUCUGACGGGUAACCUGCUUGCGGUGGGGGGCUCGUGGUUUUUUUUUUUUUUUUUUUUUUUUUUUUUUUUGGAUGACCACUGUGGAUGACAAGCAGAGAAUGUGAACCAGUAUCUGAGCGUGGUACACACAUCUGUGUUUUUUUAGAAACCAUGUCCUUCAUCAGCGCCAGCAACUGGCGUGAAGUACCGCACCUCCUUCGUCUUUACUGUCUGUCUCUCCCUCUAUUUCCUUCCCAUGUCCUCUCUCUCUCUCCUCUCUCUCUCCCUCUCUCUGUCUCUCGCUCUCCCCUUGUUCUCUCUCUUUCACACCGACUCGCUCUCCUAACAGGGGAGUGAGUGGUGUGCUGAGCCGGAGCUCUUUCUGGGACAGGUGCCAACUGCAAACAAAAGACAUUAAAAGGCAAUAAGAGAGAAAAAUUGUAAUUGCGAAAUUUCAAAUUGUUUGCGGCGGAAUGUCAUGAGUAGCCCUUGCAUGUUGUGUCUCUACAUGGCCAGUUUGUGCUAUUAUUAUAUGUUUUGUAUGAAGUAUUUAAAAAAAAAAAAACCCGACCAAGGCCGUUGGUUUGAAUUGAGGUUUGAAUACUUUGCCACACUUAUUCUAGUGAAGGCAUUUCAUUCGGGGAGAGGGAGGGAGUAAUGUGGGAGAGCAGCAUAUAGACUGCUGAAUUAUUCAUGUGCCCAGCUAAAGGCUGUGACUGGACUGGUUGUGCUAUUUGCAUGCAUCAGACAUGCUGUUUGUCUGUUUGCUAACAUUCCUCAUUCAAAGACUUCUUAACCAGCAGACGGCUUAGCUGGAGCCUUGCAGACAGCCUCAUGGCCUCCUAUUGUUUCAGGCCUCACCAGACCUGGACGCAGCCGGGUUGGCAGGCGAGAGCUUGUGCAGCACUGAAGCUUUGGGGGCCCAGACUGUGGCUGGAAGAGAGAGAGAGAGAGAGAGAGAGAGAGCCAUGGAGCUGAGAUUGAGGCUUGUAACUCUUGUGAGGCAGAGGCUCAGCUGUGAAGGGCACAGUCUGAAGGGAAAUCACUGGGCCUUUUGCAAGAAGCACCAAAAAAAAAACGGGAGCUUAUGGCUUUCUCCUCCUUCUUGACAGAGAUGUGGAUCAGAGAAGGAAGAGCUGCAGAAUUUUGCAUCUCCGACCGGACUUGCUCUGAAAUAUGGGCAGUGUGAUGUGUUUUGACUUCAGCCACAGGCACAAACAAUUUGGCCAACAAGUGAAAUCACGGACAGACAGACAGACUGGCGAUCGCAGCAGCAACACGAAGGCUACCUGACGUGCUACUGAAACCCGUGAUGGAGGUAGGAGGCGAUAUGUCAGCGACCCCACCCCCACCCUCUUUUUCUUUUUCUUUUUUUUUUCGCUGCGUGCUACAGAGCAGGUGAGAAACAUUAACAGCGGCAGCAGCUGCGGCCCUCUGCUCUGCACAUGUGGGCCAGGAUAUGAGCUAGCUCGAGCUCGCCCACUGUCAACACUGGUCACUAAUGUUAACACUCUCCUCUCUGAAGCACUCAAACAGUACUGAGAGAGGAGGGGAAAGUGGAAUCAGUGCAGAUUGUUAUGUAAUUAUUUUUUAUUUUUUUUACAAUCGCUGUGAUCGGUAAUGGUUUUUAGCUGCAGAGCUGUGGUACCUCUCAAGCAUUUUCAAAGUAAUGUGACCACAUGUUAUAUGGUGCAUACGAGUUGUACAUUGCACCUCAACCAAAGAGUUGUUUUGAAUUUUUCUGAUGAGGUCAACCAACCCUAUAGCAUGACGACUGCCUCAUUUGCCGCCAUCAUCUACGAUCUGGCUGUUUCGAAACACUAUUUAAAGAGCAGAACAGUUUAGAGGUCAGACCAUUUUCCGUAAAAAAUGGAUGUCACCCCAUACUAUAUGUUAUUUACUGGUCACAUUUGACUAUGGAAAUAUCACGGCAGUACGAUUUGUUUGGGACCUAUGCGCCUUGUUGAAUCAUUUGAAUUCUUCCCCUCCACCCCGCCUCAGCUCAGUGCCAUGAACCGAGUGACCCAGUCGUCGUCACACUGUGUUCUCAACACACAGAUUCCUGUCACGCCGGUGAGGUGUCCCGGCGGGGAGGAGAGAGUGGCAUGUGUAUUUGUGUUUCUGUGAAUCAUAACCACUGUUUUGUAUUUAGUGAGGUGUGUCGAAGCGGAUUACCUGCAUGAAUGGGGGACCUGAAACAACUUUUGUUUUUAAAAGACUGUCCUUUGGGGUGAGGUAGUAGGUUGUAUAGUUUUAGGGUUAUACCCUUCCUGUCAGAUAACUAUACAACUUACUGUCUUUCCUGAAGUGGCUGUAAUGUCGUCAGAUGCCGUUGUCGGAAGUUGUUUUUUUUGGAUCUGGAUCAACACUGGAAUGCGUGUAUGUUUACCCACUGACUGCUAAGAUAACAUAACUCAUCGAGGUAGGUCAUUGUAGAUGCUUUAGGUAGUUUUCCAUCUCGUCACUUCAAGACUUUGUAGUCAAUAAAAAUGUCUUUUGAUCAGAAGUGUUUUGCUUGUUGUUUUUCUACCAUAUGCUUCAUAUUUCAUCAGACACUGUAUAUCAUGUAAACUUUUACACAAAUCUACUUUCAUCUAAUUGUCUUUCCUCUUUCCUCAGCACUAAUUAAUGUGAUUUUUCUCGUAUGGUUAUCGCCGGACUGCUUGUGAUUAGUAUUUCAGAAAUUAAGUCGACUUAUAUGAUAGGAGAGAUGUUGAAGAUGUGUGAAAAUGUACUGGUGUUUAUAGGUGACUCCACUAUAACGCUCUCCGAAGCUCGCCAGCCCGUAGGACCUUUCUGAUGUUCGAACGGGGUGAGGUAGUAGGUUGUGUGGUUUCAGGGUAGUGAUUUUGCCCAAUCAGGAGAUAACUAUACAACCUACUGCCUUCCCUGGAGGGCAGCAAUACUUCGCCAUGCAGACAACACAGAAAAGCUCCCAAAAUCAACAAACCGAACCAGGUCAACGGUCUGAGCCCUGGCCCUGAGCCCACCAGUCCGCUUCUUACCCGUAACGUGGGCGUUCGCAGCAGCAGAGAGGACCAGCAGGUAAAGUCUGUUCAAUGUGAGAUUUGUCGUGGAUUUUUUUUUCUGUUACAAACUUCAAUAAAAAAAUAAAAAUAAAACGA